rnacentral:lncRNA from 1 species
GGCAGCGAUAACACCUACACCUGUGAAUGUCCGGAGAACUUUGAGGGCACCAACUGUGAAGAGGAGGUCAUCCAGCCCGGAGGACUGGAAACCAAGUGGAUCAUCCUGAUCGCCGUCCUGGCCUCGGUGGUCGUCUUCGCCGUCAUAAUCACCGUCGUGUGCGUUUUGAAAAAGAAAGCCAAGUGAGUAUCAGCAGUUUGAGGAAGCGGCGGCGUUGGAAUCACUUGAAGACGUCUCAUUUGUAUUUGUUUGAUCCACAGGAAGAAGAAGAAGAAGAUCACAGAUGGACCGUACAGCAUGAACCCUACAGGUGUUCCAUAUCAAAACAUGGAGGAUGACAAAGAAUCCAACUCUGACAAAGACUCUGACAAACUCUCCAUCACAGACUCUAAGUCGGGCAAAAGCACAAAUAGCAAAAGAGGCUCUGAUGAUGAAGACUCGAGCGAUGUAGAGGAUGGUAAAUCCACCCCGCUGUGAUGCACCUGAACCCAUCAAUCCGUUCUGCACUUUUCUGGUUUUUGUUUCUUAACUUAUAUUUUGAAAAUAUUGUUUUUGACUAAUGUUAGUGUUUCCUUCGAAAGGAACUUUAUCGAUCAAAUGAAAACAAACCUGACAGUUUCAAUAUAAUUUUGAGCUGUAACCGUCCAUGCAUUCUUGAUUAUUUCUUUGUUUAUUAAUUUCCAAUUAAAAAAACUGUUUACAUUAACUUAUAUAUAUAUAUUUAAACAGUAAUUAGCUGAAUUGUUCUCCAAUAUCAGAGCUGGACCGUCCAUGAAUUUCAUUAUUAAAGGUUGUAACGUCCCAUGAUUCAGUUUUCAUUGUAUUCCAUGAAUUCUCUAAAUGAUUUGGUUUUACAGAAAUAAAGUCUGCAUAUAUACUUGUGUCUUUACUUGCUUUUCUUCAUAAAAUACAGCACUGUUUAUUGGUGUAGUAAAUGAAGGUUCAAUUCAAAUGUGGAUUAAACUCUGAACCGGAAGAUAUUUUAGUUUGUAGAGGUGCAAUAAAACUGCCUUUUUAUUCAUCUUAACACAUAUUUGAAAUAAAACAAUGGAAUAUUGGAGCCACCGUAAAAUGAAA